rnacentral:tRNA from 1 species
GUAAGUAUAAUUUAAAUAAAAUGUUAGAUUGUGAUUCUAAAAAUAGAGGUUAAACCCCCCUUACUCACC